CUCCACUGUAAGUCUCGCGCUCUGACCCCGUGGCUCUCGCGAGACUUACAGUGGAGCUGACCAGACCGGAGGAGAAGGGAGCUGACAGGGGCUGCAGGAAAGGUAAGUAACAGCUCUCUGUUACUUAUAUAAUGCAGAGUGUGUGUUUGUAUGAGUGUGUGCGUAUAUAAUGUAGAGUGUGUGUUUGUAUGAGUGUGUGUGUAUAAUGCAGUUUGUUUGUAUGAGUGUGUGUGUGUAUAAUGCAGAAUUUGUGUAUGAGUGUGUGUGUAU